CAGGCGAGCUCUAUUCUCUUCAAGGUUCACAGGCAACUCCUUCAGCUAUCUCAACACGUUCUACAACAGCUCUUCUUGCUUCGCAUGACAACGUUCUCUGACAUACAUGUCUUAGCCACCCUGGCCAGGCCAUGCUCCAGCACUUGUUGUGCUCCAUAGGAUUUUCCUGCACCAAAUAUAGUCGCCAUACUUGCCAUGCAUGCCACCAAGGCAAACAUGUACGACUGCCAUUUAGUUACUCCAAUA
rnacentral:lncRNA from 1 species